AGCGAACGCUGGCGGCAGGCCUAACACAUGCAAGUCGAACGAACCUUUCGGGGUUAGUGGCGGACGGGUGAGUAACACGUGGGAACGUGCCUUUAGGUUCGGAAUAACUCAGGGAAACUUGUGCUAAUACCGAAUGUGCCCUUCGGGGGAAAGAUUUAUCGCCUUUAGAGCGGCCCGCGUCUGAUUAGCUAGUUGGUUGAGGUAAUGGCUCACCAAGGCGACGAUCAGUAGCUGGUCUGAGAGGAUGAUCAGCCACAUUGGGACUGAGACACGGCCCAAACUCCUACGGGAGGCAGCAGUGGGGAAUCUUGCGCAAUGGGCGAAAGCCUGACGCAGCCAUGCCGCGUGAAUGAUGAAGGUCUUAGGAUUGUAAAAUUCUUUCACCGGGGAUGAUAAUGACGGUACCCGGAGAAGAAGCCCCGGCUAACUUCGUG
rnacentral:rRNA from 1 species